rnacentral:lncRNA from 1 species
UUUGAAUACUCUUGACUGUUUUGUAAAAUCGAGUUACGUCUGUGAUUGAAGGAUUAAAAGGAUGUCUAUAGGAUUGAGUAUGCGGAGUGAAUGAAAUUUAUUUGGUUAAUCUAACAAGACAGUCAGUGGAUACAAGAUCGUAAGUACAAAGUGGUAUUGAAGAUUAACAGUUUGGAUUGUUCGGGGUUCUCUGUAACGUCUAGAGACCUAUCGGCUGGGGCAAAAAAAAAGACUUCGACAAGCAGUCGAAGAGCAUCCAUAUA